rnacentral:rRNA from 1 species
UACGGGAGGCAGCAGUGGGGAAUAUUGGACAAUGGGCGCAAGCCUGAUCCAGCCAUGCCGCGUGUGUGAAGAAGGCCUUAUGGUUGUAAAGCACUUUAAGCGAGGAGGAGGCUACUGAAGUUAAUACCUUCAGAUAGUGGACGUUACUCGCAGAAUAAGCACCGGCUAACUCUGUGCCAGCAGCCGCGGUAAUACAGAGGGUGCAAGCGUUAAUCGGAUUUACUGGGCGUAAAGCGCGCGUAGGCGGCUAAUUAAGUCAAAUGUGAAAUCCCCGAGCUUAACUUGGGAAUUGCAUUCGAUACUGGUUAGCUAGAGUGUGGGAGAGGAUGGUAGAAUUCCAGGUGUAGCGGUGAAAUGCGUAGAGAUCUGGAGGAAUACCGAUGGCGAAGGCAGCCAUCUGGCCUAACACUGACGCUGAGGUGCGAAAGCAUGGGGAGCAAACAGGAUUAGAUACCCUGGUAGUCCAUGCCGUAAACGAUGUCUACUAGCCGUUGGGGCCUUUGAGGCUUUAGUGGCGCAGCUAACGCGAUAAGUAGACCGCCUGGGGAGUACGGUCGCAAGACUAAAACUCAAAUGAAUUGACGGGGGCCCGCACAAGCGGUGGAGCAUGUGGUUUAAUUCGAUGCAACGCGAAGAACCUUA